GUGGGGAAUUUUGGACAAUGGGCGAAAGCCUGAUCCAGCCAUGCCGCGUGCAGGAUGAAGGCCUUCGGGUUGUAAACUGCUUUUGUACGGAACGAAAAGACUCCUUCUAAUAAAGGGGGUCCAUGACGGUACCGUAAGAAUAAGCACCGGCUAACUACGUGCCAGCAGCCGCGGUAAUACGUAGGGUGCAAGCGUUAAUCGGAAUUACUGGGCGUAAAGCGUGCGCAGGCGGUUAUAUAAGACAGAUGUGAAAUCCCCGGGCUCAACCUGGGAACUGCAUUUGGGACUGUAUAGCUAGAGUACGGUAGAGGGGGAUGGAAUUCCGCGUGUAGCAGUGAAAUGCGUAGAUAUGCGGAGGAACACCGAUGGCGAAGGCAAUCCCCUGGACCUGUACUGACGCUCAUGCACGAAAGCGUGGGGAGCAAACAGGAUUAGAUACCCGUGUAGUCC
rnacentral:rRNA from 1 species